GCAUUAGUUCCAAUAGUUUAACAGGCUGCUUUGUAGCGCUGACAAAAGCCCUGCUAGCGCAGUGGCUUCCCUCCAUGUUCCUUUGCCAUGCGAGCUCGUCAGUGAUCUUUGGCAGGGGCUCGGGAGAGGGAGAGGAGGGGUGACGUUUAGCAGGCUUCCGCCGAGGAGCGCACUCGCCUCGUCUGCACCCAGCCCCGCCGCCACGGAGAGACUGAGGCAGGAGACCGAAUGAACUAACAGCAGCUGGAUCCGACCUGCUUCCCCGGACCUUUCCCGGACUCCGAGCGACAGAAUCCCUGGAAAGAGGCCAGGGAACCACGUUGCCCUGGAUUGUCGCCAGCUGUACAAAGUUGACCAGGAAAAAUGGCUCAGCAGACGACAAGCCCGGACACCUUAACAGUUCCUGAAGUGGAUAAUCCGCAUUGUCCAAACCCGUGGCUGAACGAGGAUCUUGUGAAAUCUUUGCGGGAAAACCUGUUGCAGCACGAGAAGUCCAAGACGGCGAGGAAACCGGCUUCUCCCAAGCUCUCUCCAGUGAUUUCUCCGCGAAAUUCCCCCAGGCUCCUGCGCAGGAUGCUUCUCAGCAGCAACAUCCCCAAGCAGCGGCGCUUCACCGUGGCUCAUACGUGGUAAGGUUCGCACCGACCACACGGAAAUGG